CAAGUUCUAAGUACAAGCAAUCUUCCAUUGUGAAUAUGGAUGUCCAAAAAUAUUCAACUUUGAAAUUUACAAUCUUACUGAUUUUCGUUAUCAUUGUAUCAGAUAUGUGUAAGAUAUCAGAUGCAAGAGGUCCUAUUGUCUCAUUUCACUGUCAGCGUGAUGAAAAUUGUGAAAGUCGUUUUCCAAAUCAUGGUUGCAAAUGUGUUCAAUCUGUGUGCAGCUGUCGAGGAGAUCCUCCAAAGCUAACCAACACUUUAUUACCACCUGAGUUAACUACUUAGAUAAUGAUACAUGUACACAGAAUAAAAAGAUAAUAAUACAUGAUUGCAUCUCAAUGUAUGUAUUUGAUUAAUAAAUCCUUCAAUUGAAAUAAAA